rnacentral:rRNA from 1 species
AGUGAACGCUGGCGGUAGGCCUAACACAUGCAAGUCGAACGGCAGCACAGGAGAGCUUGCUCUCUGGGUGGCGAGUGGCGGACGGGUGAGGAAUACAUCGGAAUCUACUCUGUCGUGGGGGAUAACGUAGGGAAACUUACGCUAAUACCGCAUACGACCUACGGGUGAAAGCAGGGGACCUUCGGGCCUUGCGCGAUUGAAUGAGCCGAUGUCGGAUUAGCUAGUUGGCGGGGUAAAGGCCCACCAAGGCGACGAUCCGUAGCUGGUCUGAGAGGAUGAUCAGCAAAACUGGAACUGAGACACGGUCCAGACUACUACGGGAGGCAGCAGUGGGGAAUAUUGGACAAUGGGCGCAAGCCUGAUCCAGCCAUACCGCGUGGGUGGAGAAGGCCUUCGGGUUGUAAAGCCCUUUUGUUGGGAAAGAAAUCCAGCUGGCUAGUACCCGGUUGGGAUGACGGUACCCAAAGAAUAAGCACCGGCUAACUUCGUGCCAGCCGCCGCGGUAA